rnacentral:ribozyme from 1 species
AAGAAGAACAUAAAUCCAAUUGAACUAAAAUAAACAAAAAAGUUUUCAACUUGGUCCUUUAAUCUUUUAGUUUCCAUCCUUUUUUUUUUUU